GAAACCUGGCAGAGACGGUUCGUAAAACUAAAACAGUCGGCACCAUGUCGGAUCGCAAAACAGAAAUUAUUGGAAAAAAUGGUGCUGUUGGGACAAGUUCGAUAUGUGAAGAAUAAAACAUGUGCAUUUCGCUGAAGAAUAGUCCAAAGUCUUAAAGAAAACUCAGCGUAUUUUGCAUAAAAACUUGGGUCUCAAGACCGGCUGAUCAUUAAUAAAGUUAAGUCUUCGCUGAUUGGGUGCUUGAAAUGCAUGAAAAUGAUCCGGAAUUUCAUCGAAAAAUUAGUUUGACUGAUGGGACCCGUUUCAACCGCGUUGGGUACGACAGUAAGCAAAACUGGAACCCGGAAAAUCAAAGAUUUAUUGUUGAAAAGCUUUUCCAACCUCAACGUGUAACUGUUUGGUACGGUUUAUAGUUCGGCGGGGUCAUUAGAUCUUAGUUUUUCGAAAAUGAGACUGGAGCAACAGUUACGGCGAGUGGAUUGUGCUAUCGAGAUAAGAUUAAUAAUUUUUUAUGAUGGGAAAUGGCUGGUAUUGAACUGGACAACGUUUACUUUCAACAAGACGGUGCUACAUGCCACGCAAGUAACUAAAGCAUCGUUAUAUUUAGGGAAAAGUUUUCGGAUCGUGUGUGCCCAAUUGGCAAUCAAGAUCUUAUGGUUUAACGACUUGCGACUUCUACCAUUGGAGUCACGUAAGGCCCCCGUCAACAGGCCAAUGUCGUUUCAAGACUUCAAAGGUGAAAUUCGUGAAGCUAUUGAGGUCAUAAAGCAGCCACUCUGAGAUUUAAUGUUGGAAAAAAUCAUACAAAGGAUACGGUCUUGAAAAUAAACUUUGGAUCGCCCAGAAUUAUGGUGUACAUACGAAAUGUGACCUUCGAAUAAUCAUCGACUAACAACAGGGUGAUAGCGAAACGUGAAUUGAUCCAAUAGUUAACUACAGAGGAGUACCAAUGGACAAGACGAUGCCACAAUUUUUCUCACAUAAAAACAUUCAUUUGUAUAAAUUUAUACAAAUAUUUUGCGUGCAAAUACUUAUUUUCACAUGAAUAAUGUGCUGAGCAUAUGGUUUAUAACAAAAGCUGAGGUAGCUCAGUGAGUAAAAACUACAAAUUAACAACAAGAACAUUUGUAAAUACAUUUCCAAAAUUUGAAUAAUUAAAAAUUCUGCUAUUAAAUUUGCGGUAACAU